UCGGCCCGGUCCCUCGGCGCGCCCCGCCGGGGCCGCGUUAAACUACAAGCAUGAAGAAAUUAAAGCUUAAAGAACUGGAAAGCUGUCUUCAACAAGUUGAUACUUUUGAAAGUCCAAAAUUACUCCUUGAACAGUAUCCAACAAGACCUCACAUCGCAGCAUGUAUGCUGUAUACAAUUCACAAUACUUUUGAUGAUAUUGAAAACAAAACAAUUGCAGAUUUAGGAUGUGGUUGUGGCAUGCUCAGCAUUGGAAGUGCAAUGUUAGGAGCAGGAUUGUGUGUGGGGUUUGACAUAGAUGCAGAUGCACUGGAAAUAUUUAAUCACAGUAUUGAAGACUUUGAGCUCACGAACGUCAACAUGGUUCAGUGUGAUGUCUGUUCUUUAUCUGACAGCAUGUCAGAGACUUUUGACACAGUUAUUAUGAACCCUCCGUUCGGUACCAAACAUAAUAAAGGAAUGGAUAUGAUUUUUCUGAAGACUGCUUUACAAAUGGCAAAAACAGCUGUAUAUUCCCUUCACAAAACUUCAACACGGCAGCACAUUCAAAAGAAAGCAGAUGAAUGGGAAGUGAAGAUGGAAGUCAUAGCAGCUAGAAUAGAAACAGGCAAUAAAGUUCUGAGGAAUACAUAUUCUGUGCAGAAUUAGAAUUGGAUUUUCUCCUGGACUAGAUUUUGCCUUCAAGCAGACAUUACCUACCUUCCUGCUUCACAAGGAUAUUGUUGCUGAAUAACAAAAGCAAAAUGCAGAGCUUAGAUACGACCUACCAGCAUCAUACAAGUUCC